UCUAGAACCGAUAACCCCCGUUAAACCUCACCCUCUCUUGUUCUUCCCGCCUAUAUACCGCCGUCGUCAGCUUACCCUAUGAAGGAGCCACAGUAAGCAGAACUAGUACAACUCAA
rnacentral:rRNA from 1 species